GCAGGCAAAUGCUUACAUUCCUUAAUCCUUCUAUUUGUAGAAUGGUGAAUAGUAAAUCACUUUUCUACUUAAAAGGUGAAAUAGAUAGGCUAUUUGUGAAAGAGAAAAAAUGUUGAGAGGAGCUAUGGUUUAAUGGAAUUGUCAAAUCCAGUCCAGUGCCAGCAAGGAAUAACCUGAACUAUAUCGGAAGUGAAGAGGAUCCUAUGUGCGUCAUAUGCCGACAGUACCUGUAUCUUUCAGCAUUUUCGUUCUUAUGUUUGCCUUGAGCACUGGAAGCACCUUUGUGAAUGCAGUCUGGAGAAGCAUCGCUUACUUUACCACCACACCCUUGCAGAGUUGGGUGAUUUAGCUUGCGAGGUCAAGGCUCUCUGAGGGGAGAAUGUUAAGCAGAGCCCAUUCUUUCUUAAUGACAUUCCCGCACGAUGGACUACAAUGCACCUCUGCAGUGAAAGAUCGGUAUAUAUCAUAUGCACAACAUGCUGAGGAUUGGCUUUCAGAAUCUGAUCGUAUUCUCCAUAUCCCGUUCCUGGAUACUGCUCUGCCUUAAAAGCUGCUGAACAUGGCACUAAAAUUAACUGAUGCUAAGAAAUGGGUUCUGAGUGCUAGAAAUUGUCUUUCAAGAUUGAUGAUAUUUUUCUUUGUAAAUACAAGUGUUUGGAGAAUGUAAAAUAUGUGGACAUCAAAGAAUUAGUAGCUGUAAGAUGUAAAUCAUCCUGCCAAUCUAGUCUUACGCAGCUGCAGGUAUGGAAAAUCAGGUUCUGUUGUAGUUCAUUUCGUGAGACCCUAAUAUUUACUCUGUUGCUAAGAUUCACAGAGAAAGGUAAUGAUGAUUAGUGAAAUAAACAUUGCGUUAUCAUCCUGCUCAACGGUAAUCUUUAUUUUUUGUUCAUAAGUAAACCCAUAAUUCUUCUGUAAGAUAACUACAAUCAGGAAACACUUUAUGUGGGAAACAAAUGAUACUCACAUUGCAGAGUUAAUUUCUUGAACCUACCAUUUCUUAUUUUGUGGUGACAAUCUUUCGUCAUUGCCAUGUUUUCUUAGGUUGACCACUUGGAAAAGUUACACUCCCUGGCUUCAGAAUUCCCGGUUGAGCUAACAGAAACAUCAAAUUUGUCUUCUGAGAUUUCUUUUGCAAAGGUAUACACUUUAUUAGUGUAAUGAGUUUAUCCCUCCGAUCCAAAUUACUUGUCGCAGAUCCUAAAUCUGCAACAAGUAAUUUGGAUCGGAGGGAGUAUUUGAGUUUGUUACAUGCUAGUGGUAUUUUCUUGUCCUAUUCUAAUCAAUAUUCACUUUUUGACAUACAUAACUUCUUGAAUGUUUGCGUUUCACUUGUGCUGUGGGUCUUGGUUGAAGAAAGCACAUGAUAUCUUUGAAUGGAAUAAACUCGAAAAGUCACUGAAAUAGAUAUCCGGAAAAGUUCAUUCGUCUUGCGCACAUUGGUCAUGUGGAUAGCAACAUAUUAAAAAAGGGACAUUAUUUUCAUUAUGAAGUUUAAAUAGUACUACCUCCGUUUUAAUGAAUAAGGCUUAUCUUAUUUUUCAAAAGUCAAACCAUGUAAAGUUUGACUAAGUUUUUACAAAAAAUCAUUAACAUGCAAAAUACAAAAUCAAUAUCGUUAGAUACAUCAUGAACUAUAUUUUCAAAUGAUUUCUACAAAAUACCAUAUUUCUUGAUACAUUUUUCUAUAAGUUUGGUCAGACUUUACUUGGCUUGACUUUUCAAAAAAUAAAUAUAAGCCUUAUUCAUUGGAACAGAGGAGUAUGAACUAUAGUCUACUCCGUACAACAUAUAAGAAAAAAUACUGCAUGAUUAUACAUUACGAAAAUUGUCUACUGCAAAGGAGGGUACAAUUAGUUCUUCUAUAACA